rnacentral:lncRNA from 1 species
GUCUAUGUCAAAAGUUUGCAUAUAGAUAAACUUGUUUCUUGGUCCAUAGUUGUUUAAAGGUUACUGAUUCUAUCAUGCUGAAGAACAUAAGAUGCUCAUCAACAGUAGGGCAUUCCUUUUGGAAAGAAGUUUCUUAGAGAAGGAACUGAUACCUAUCAAGUUGAACUUGAAAGUUUGACUUGUAAAAAAUGAACUGACAUAAUCUAGUAAACCUACAGAAUCGGAUUUGAUUAGAUCAAACUCGGAGCCCAUUAAAGUAACACCUUUAAGG